AUCAACAAAAAAGGUUUAUUGUCAGACUUUCAAUCUGACAACGAGAGUUCGACUCUCUCUGGGGGUA
rnacentral:tRNA from 1 species